GUUUUAAUCAUUCUGACAAAAGGGAAAUUCAAACGUAUGUUUAGAUAGUAUGUGGAGGUGAGUCGCAUCGCAUAGCACUGCUGCUUUAUGUGACUGGAAGGUGUGAAAACGACGCCAUUCUUCGCUGGCGGAGUGAGACCUCUUCACUGACUCCUCUUCUAUGACGCCGUAGCAGCCGAGCCUCUGCCGGUUCGCUCCCCUCGCUGUGCAUAGCUGGCUGCGUGCUGCAAAUCGCCUUCAUCGGGAGACAAAGCGAGGCAGAGGUAACACAGGAGCGAAGCUACACCUGUCUGUGGAUUUAAAGAGCGACGAAGAGGAUUUGAAAUUGUCAGUGCUGCGACAGGGAUCCGCUCCACACCGCUGGUCAGAUAAGAGAUCUCAGUGGGAACAGGUGUUGCUCCUGACUCACGUGAAUUUGUGCAAACAUCAGCGCAGGAGAGCUGGAAGUGCACGCAGCCCGAACUCUUCUGCAGGGAGUGUCAGCUCAUAGAGGUGGGAUCCUUGUGGCCGGCCCAGACUGGAAGGACGUACAAAGUUCUGAAAUGCUUUCUACAUGUGAGGGUUUUUCGUCCACCACCAUUAGUCUUGACCUCCCUUGUCUGUGAUUCAGUUCUGGUUGACGGCGUCGACAGCUACACCUUUUGGCAUGACACAGAAACUGCUCAUCGCUGGUAGGACACGAUGAUAGGUUUCAUACUAUAGAGAAAGAAGUCCAAACCUGACCUCACAAGUGUUCCCAUGGAGAUGCAGGCAGAUGGAGAUGUGUUAAACCAAGAUCAGUGGGAACACCACAUCCAGCUGCCGCUCAAUGAGGCACGGGAGCAGGAAGUUGCCCUGCGAAGGGAAGAAAUGGCACAGGCCACAGUCUUCAACCAGGCAUUCCUCAGUGUGCUUUGAAGCCUCGCACUAGCAAUGGAUGGCCACUCAAGUUUCACCUCACCCCUUAACUUUCCACAUUGGAGAUUCCAUCCAUCCAUCCAUUCGCUUCCGCUUAUCCUUUUUCAGGGUCGCGGGGGGCGCUGGAGCCUAUCCCAGCUGUCAUAG